rnacentral:rRNA from 1 species
GACGGAGGAUGCAAGCGUUAUCCGGAAUUAUUGGGCGUAAAGCGUCCGUAGGUGGCCUAUCAAGUCUGCUGUUAAAUCCCAGGGCUCAACUCUGGAUCAGCAGUGGAAACUGAUAAGCUAGAGUGCGGUAGGGGCAGAGGGAAUUCCCGGUGUAGCGGUGAAAUGCGUAGAUAUCAAGAGGAACACCUGAGGUGAAGACGGGUUGCUGGGCUGACACUGACGCUGAGGCGCGAAAGCCAGGGGAGCAAACGGG